ACUAUGUACAUGUACAAAAUAUUCAAAUACAAUAAUACUGUAUAUAUGACUGUAAAACCUGCCAAUCAAUAUUAGAGUGCCACCUUCAGGCUAAAUUACACAAGGACACCAAACGUCUGCCAACUGAUCUGUACAGUGUGUUCAGUUAUCUAAAACUUAAGACUUGUUAUGCCCCCCCCCCAAAAAAAUACAGUAUAUAUAAAUAUAUUAACAUGUCCCAACAUAUCGUAACAUUACAUUUUUAGACAAUGUUUAGAAGUAUUAUUUACAGUAUAUACUAAAGUACUCAGUUAAAAAUGGCCGGCCUUUAUAUUUGAUAUAAAAUCAUUUUAAUUAAUUAUCAAGUGUGUAUUGUAAUGCUUGAUAAGGUUUCCUUUCAUACCUUACUGAUCAUUUAUGAAUAUACAAGUGAAGUAACAGCAUAUGAUGUUUUAAUAACGUAGUUUGGGAGGAGCAUGUCUCACAGAGUGACUCGGUAGAGCGGAACCAAAAGUGAGAGAAAAGGUUCCGCCCGGACUGAAUUCUACAAACACCGUCACUUCCGGAUAUCCCCGGGAGUCCCCCAAAUCAAACGAAAUCGACCGCAGGUGCAUAGACGACGUGGCGAGGGCUGAUUGGGUGAGUCACACCAGGAAGAACAGUAUAAAAGGAAGAGAAGAAAUACAGGAAGUGUGCUGUUGUGUUGGGAAGAACGCUGGGUUGAAAUACGAGUGUGGGAAAAGGUACUGUGUGGAGCCCGUAAGAACCUGCUUGUGACGAAGAGGAGGAAGGGGAUCAGGACCCAAAGGAGGGUGAGAAAGGACACCAUUGGAGCGAGUUGGUACCUACUGAUUGUAUGUGUUUACAGAAGGUCUGGGCGAAAUACACCGGUAGCUAUAUACCUGUACUGCGGAUUUCCUGGAGGGAAAGGAACAAAAGGAAAGAGCGGGUAACGAGCGGCCCCACUGUAUGUGUUGUGACGGGUUGGCGAGCCGGAACACUGGAAACUGUACUGGCGUUGUGUUGUGAAGCUGCCACGACCUGGGCCGGACAUCGCUCGGCGUAGCGAUUUAGAUCCCCCCCCCCAGAGACGAUCUAGCCCGGCGAGGAGUACGGACCCUAUUAUUCACUGGAGUGUGUGCUGUGCAGCGUGAAGGAUCAGGCCUCUGUGUAAACCAACGGGAGCUGCCGAGCCGGUGGACACCAAACUCAUGAACUACGCGACACGACCAUAGCCAGAUGAAGCGAAACGGACUCAUCGAGUGAGGAGGAAGGGAAGAGGACGUGUUGGUCCGGGAAGGCGGACGUAUGCUCAAGGGCCCAUUCUAAAUUCCACCACCAACGGGACAUUGCCUCGGCAGCCACAGUUGGAAAAAAGCCCCCCCCUCUCCUUAUCCUGGCACGAAGCUGGAGGAGGAAAGAAGGGCGCCUUGGGGACAACAGCAACUCAGGAGGUGGACCGUAGACAAAGGAGCUCCGUCCGGUCCUUUCCCUGUCGUCCCUUGCCAGUGCUGGCUAGAUUUCCCUCUCCGCCAUCCUCUGACCUUCCAUCUCCCCCUGAAGAAAAGGAGCCAUAUUUUAGAUUUCCCUUCCCCCACUUCCCACUUGAUUUUAAAUAAUUUAAUAAAGAUCUCAUUA